rnacentral:rRNA from 1 species
GCCUACGGGAGGCAGCAGUGGGGAAUAUUGCGCAAUGGGGGAAACCCUGAUGGUGCGACGCCGCGUGGGGGAAUGAAGGUCUUCGGAUUGUAAACCCCUGUCAUGUGGGAGCAAAUUAAAAAGAUAGUACCACAAGAGGAAGAGACGGCUAACUCUGUGCCAGCAGCCGCGGUAAUACAGAGGUCUCAAGCGUUGUUCGGAAUCACUGGGCGUAAAGCGUGCGUAGGCUGUUUCGUAAGUCGUGUGUGAAAGGCGCGGGCUCAACCCGCGGACGGCACAUGAUACUGCGAGACUAGCGUAAUGGG